AUCCAGCUGACGAGUCCCAAAAUAGGACGAAACGCAUGUUCUGGAU
rfam:Schistosoma mansoni strain Puerto Rico chromosome 1, complete genome